UUAAGUGAAGCACGACUGUAUUAUUUUUGUAUAAUACGUUACAUAACAAAUUACUACAAACUUACUAGGUUAAUGGAAUGCUUCUUUAUGACCUCACAGGCCAGAAAUCUAGGCGUGGCUUAGCUGGAUUCUCUGGUCAGAGUCUCAAAAGACCACAGUCAAUAUGCAGAGUGGGUUGGGUUCUCAUGGGGAGAUUUGACCAGGGAAGCAGAUUCUGCCCUGCCUGGGUGGUUGUUGGCAGCAUUCAGUCCCUCACCUCUUCAAAAUCCACAAGGAGAGAGAGAGAGGCUGGAAGUCACUCAAUAAAAUGGAAGUAUCAUUAUUGGCAUUGUUGGGAAGGAUGAAAUAAGAGACAGCUUUGUUCGUGGAUUUAUUCCCAGAGAUUCAGGAAAGUAUAAACAGAGCAUAAGACCUUUAUCCUUACUAUAGAGCUUAUAUCUAAAGAAAUAAUAAAUAAAACUCCCUGAUGAUUUCCUCUUACUCA
rnacentral:lncRNA from 1 species